rnacentral:lncRNA from 1 species
GGAUUUCUGAAAGGUUUAUUUUAAGGCUCUUCUGUGGACCCACAACUUCACGGAAAUUUCAUGAGAGCUGACUUCUCUCAUCUGCCUUAGACAGAUCCUGUAAGGUUUGUGUGUGGUGAUGGAUAAGAGACUUGGUGAAAGAGCUUUUGACAUUCCUGCCAUCACCUCCAGAAAGUGCGAGUAGAGCACUAGAGCGUUUUUCAGAAGACUCGAAGAAAAUACCCUUUCAUUCAGGAUCAAGCUUGCUAUUUAAGUGCCUUCAACCAACUCAACAGGAAAACAAGAGACAGCCAAAAAAAAUCACACUUCACUUUCUAGAAUGUUGAUAGCUUUACCAUAAU